UACGAAGGGGGCUAGCGUUGCUCGGAAUCACUGGGCGUAAAGGGCGCGUAGGCGGCCAAGUAAGUUGGGGGUGAAAGCCCGUGGCUCAACCACGGAAUUGCCUUCGAUACUGCUUGGCUUGAGACCGGAAGAGGUGAGUGGAACUGCGAGUGUAGAGGUGAAAUUCGUAGAUAUUCGCAAGAACACCAGUGGCGAAGGCGGCUCACUGGUCCGGAUCUGACGCUGAGGCGCGAAAGCGGUGGGGAGCAAACAGG
rnacentral:rRNA from 1 species